CCUACGGGAGGCAGCAGUAGGGAAUAUUGCUCAAUGGGGGAAACCCUGAAGCAGCAACGCCGCGUGGAGGAUGAAGGUUUUAGGAUUGUAAACUCCUUUUGUUCGAGAAGCUUAUUACGGUAUCUCACGACUACUCACCGUCUAACUCCGUGCCAGCCGCCGCGGUAAUACGGAGGGUGCAAGCGUUACACGGAAUCACUGGGCGUAAAGAGUGCGUAGGCGGGGUAAUAAGUCAGAUGUGAAAUCCUGUAGCUUAACUACAGAACUGCAGUUGAAACUGUUACUCUGGAGUGUGGGAGAGGUAGGUGGAAUUCUUGGUGUAGGGGUAAAAUCCGGAGAGAUUAAGAGGAAUACUGAUUGCGAAGGCGACAUGCUGGAACAUGACUGACGCUGAUGCACGAAAGCGUGGGGAGCAAACAGGAUUAGAUACCCGGGUAGUC
rnacentral:rRNA from 1 species